GUCAAGAUUUUUAUUAACGCAAAAGAGAUGUUUAGUUGUAGUUGGAUUAAGCUUAAUUAACUGGUCACAUGCUCCAGCUCAGGGAUUCUGUCAACACUUAACAUUUAGCUAUCUAUUUAUUGUUAUCCUCAUUUCAAUUUUUCUUGGGUAGAUAUUUUCUUGGUUGUUUGGUUCAUUCAAAUGAAGAUAACUUAGUAUGACAUAUUUGAAGUCAGAUGACUCCAGUUUAGACUUUAGAUUAGAAUUCAAUUGGCUUGAUAUGCAGGCAUAAGAUCCAAACUAAACCAGGGUGACAUUUAAUUAACGGACUAAGCUCAGAGUUUAUAUCAGAAGGAUAAGUUCAGUUGUCGGAGCAGGGGAGCACGGCUGCCUGAAUUCUCAAUACGGUGCUCAUUCAGCGAUGCAGUGACUUGUGCUUCUUAUGCAACUGCUGCAGAUCACGCAAUAGAAUCAUGGAAUCGGUUGGCUAUCAAAUGACUACUGUGGCCCAUCUGAAGCAGUCCUAUAAAACGAUGCUCAGGACCUCUUGCAAAAGAAUAAACAAUCUGGAUCAGAUGAUAUGGAACUGCUAGUGGCAGAAUCAAGUAAUCAUCCUUUUAGAUUUGUUUUGAUGUUGGAUGUUCUUUGCAUAUUUAGGUUUCCAAUUUAACUCCUUUGAAUCUGUUACGCCAGCUCAUGUAAUCGUGAUGGUGUUUUUGGGAAUGUAUGAUGGUUUAUGCCA